AGAGUUCCAGGAGGAACUCAAUGUAUGGAGAUUUGAUCUGAAGCCCAUUGAACUAAAUCAAGGCAAGGCAGGGCAGGAACUGUGACCGAGCCCUGUGGUGACACAACUAUGACUGCCCAUUAUACAGCACUGAGCCUACUUUCAAUCCAGUCCAAAAUCUUAACCCAUAAUCUGAUAUCCUUCUUUAAUACUAGAGGCCAAAAUAUGGUGGUGAGUAGAAGUCAACAGGCACUGGCAGUCCAGAGGGUUAAGACAAAUGGCUUCUGUAACAAGACUAAAC